UGAAGGUCGGAACACUGGACCGUCUAACUAUCCUACAAACUGAAAUACAAGAAAACAACAUUUUAAGUAUGGCACCAGCCGGAUGGAAAACAUUUACCACAAACCGCAACAUAUAUAUUGUCAACAAGGAAGUCAGUCCUUCUCACGGUUUCAGUCUCCACAACGUUCGGCGGAUAUCCUUGCUUGCCCUGAAUUUUAUGUUUGAAUGCUUAGCUUACAGCUAAGUAGCCCUAAGUACGUUGGUGAUACAUGGACAUUUGUAAGUAUAAUCACAAAACUUUUCAGAAUGAAUCUUAUUAUACCACUAAUUAAUAUAUCCUAUCAAUUUUUUUUAUAAUGCUCACCUCAUAAAACUUGGUGAUAGGAGCACUGUACAUCAUUUUUCACAGUAGAACAAGAAACCUCAACAUUGAUACAAACCUAUUCAGUACUAUAUUACAAACGUAUUGAUUGAUGGAAUCAUUUUAAUCCUGAUUCGCACAUCAUUAUUGCGCAGGACCAUCAAAUAUCCUAUCCCACAAAGAAAGCUUGAUUGAAUUUUAAAUCUAUGAGAAUAUAUAUUUAAAAAAUAGCAAAGAUACAAAAUCGUUUGAUCUCUCCGAAGAUCUAGCAAACAAGCAAUGCAAUGUGCCAAUGAAUGUAUUACAGAGACUUUUGAUGAAAUAUUAAUUUAAACAGAAAUAAGAAGGAAAAUAUUGCGUUAAAGUGAA